rnacentral:rRNA from 1 species
UUGAAGUUGGAUUUCAAGAAGGCCUUCGAUUCGGUUAGUUGGGUAGCACUGGAUGUUAUUUUGCAGGCACGUGGCUUUGGCGACUGUUGGCGCUCUUGGAUCUGAAAUAUCCUUGCCACCGGCAAAACUGCGGUGUUGCUGAAUGGGGUGCCCGGCAGAUGGAUUCAGUGUAAAAUGGGGUUGCGUCAAGGAGACCCGUUGUCGCCU